GGGCGUAAGAGAGUGCAGGCGGUUUUCGUAAGUCUGAUGUGAAAGACCUUCGGCUUAACCGGAGAAGUGCAUCGGAAACUGGAUAACUUGAGUGCAGAAGAGGGUAGUGGAACGUCCAUGUGUAGCGGUGGAAUGCGUAGAUAUAUGGAAGAACACCAGUGGCGAAGGCGGCUACCUGGUCUGCAACUGACGCUGAGACUCGAAAGCAUGGGUAGCGAGCAGGAUUAGAUACCCCUGGUAG
rnacentral:rRNA from 1 species